UACUUCUGGUUUGAGUUAUGUUGUAGGUAGCUUUAUCUCUAUCUCUCUCUGCCCCAAGUUGUUGGAUGGCCUUCCUCUGUCUUAGGACCCGACUCAUUUCAUUGGACAGAACCUGCUCCUAUCACCAACCUGGCGCUGUUUGGAUAUCAUGGGACUGUGAUCUGGCUAGAGAUACUAUGCUUUGGGUGCCCUCAGGUCCCAGAUUGUCUUCCCCCAUGGAGCAGCCAUGCUUUUGCUUCCCUCUGGUAUUGGUUUGCUUUCACUGUAGUGCAUCAGCCUGUGUCUCAGAUACUAUGAAACCCUGCACACCUCACUGACCUCCUGAGAGGUAGAAGCUUACUUUAUAGGCAGUAAGAAAAUGGGAGGCACCAGCAUGAGUCUCUGUAGUGAAGUGAAAAAGAUGCCUACUGAUGUGGAUGAGGGUACAUGCAACCAUCAUCAUCAAACUUACCAUGUGAAAGCAAACAGACUUGGUCCUAUGGGCAGUCAUGGAGCCUGAACUAAAGGAGUGCACCCCCUUUUUCACUUUUACAUCCAAAUUUUUUAUCUAAUCCUGAUUUUUGGCUGCACCUGCAAGAAUAUGGACUGCAAGUGGAGCUGGGCACCCAGAGCUGGAGUGCACUACCAUGAGAGAGAAGAAUGACUUGAAAAUGAGAAGAGGGACUGAAACUGUGAGGCACUUCCUACUCCUACAGCUAAAAGACAAAUAGUUUCAAGAAGGAGCUUUUUCACAGAUUAUCUGCCAUGAUAAACACUUUUCAACAAAAAGCUUUCUGGCAGAGACAACUUAUCUGGCAAGAACAACAGUGUGAAAUGAAGAUAAAUGAAGAAUAUGGGCACAUGAAUCCUAAGAAGUAGGCUGGGUUGGUCUUAUUCAGAGGAAGGUUUUCAGGGGGAGAGAGAUCCUUAUUACUACUCUGAAUGCAACACGUUGUCUCAAAACCACCUAUAGAGCUGCAGGCCAGGAGAUGUUCCCGUACCACAGGGGCUUACUGGUGUCUCCAGGACAUCAGCUUGCAUCUAAGCCCUGGACAAAUUCCAGUGUCCCAGCUAAAGGAGUAGAGCAGGACAAUCCAAAGGAAGCAGGAGAGGGUGAACAUGAGGACAGAAUAGCAAGCUGGUGGGUCUACUGAAGCCUUAACAGGUCUUGUCCCAUGGUACAAGAUUUGGAAAUGUCAGGAGGUUCAAAAGCAUCACCCACAAGCUUUGCAGGAAAAACUAUCCCUUCUGGCACCUCAUUUCUGCACCCCAAAAAGUGACUUCACUCCUGUGAAACAAUGCAGAAUCUCCAAAAAGAGUGAGGAAGAGGCAGAAAGUGAAGCUAUGAAGUAAAAAAAGUUUGAAAACACCGGGAAGAAGUAGAAGGAGUGAGAGCAGUCCUGAAGAUGGAUCUUGGAGGAAAGGGUGAAGGAGGGAAAAGUGACAGGAAAGAUCAAGAAAAGAAGGGGAAAAGGGUCCUGGUGGCGAAUGCAGCUGCCUCCCCUGCAGAGAGGCUGAGCCUGGUGGGAGCAAGAAGCUCGGCUGCACCACUCACUUGCAGAAGGACCCCUCACUCCGUGCUGGUACCGUUGUCAGCAGUGCUCUUGCUGAUUGCAAGACUGGUGGAAGCAUCAAAAGGGGAGGAGGAGGGAGAGGGAAAGAUUGAUCUUGUGGGUGGAAAUUCAGGACUGCAAAGGUCAAACAGAAAGGAUGAGGAUCCUCAGUAGCCAGCAUAGCUCAGCCACACACUGAUCUCAUUCUCAUCUUUGUGCCCUUGGAAUGUGUGCCUAAUGAUGAUCAAUGAAAACAGAAGCCCUGUUGCAGCGAGACUCAUGAGGUCCUGCUCACAGCUGGCACACGGAUGCGAGGUUGUAAAAAGAAGAUGCUGGGCAUUAGGACUGAUCGUCCCACCAGAUUCCUCCUCACCUUGGAAAACCCUUGUCUCCUCUCAGCAGGGAGAUCAGCCGCCUGUCCUGGUGUGGAUGCUGGUAUGCCACACAGAUGCUCUGUGAGCAGAUGCUUUGCCUCCUAGAUCACCCCCAAUUAAUAUGGAGGUUUUGCGCUCUCCUUUCAAAACGGUUCCUCGUAAAUUACCUUGAAUCACAAACCUUCAGAGCACUUGAAGCUUGACAAAAAUAUACUCUGUGCCCAUGUCAGCUACCCAUCACCAAUGGCCAGCAGGAUCUGGUUUCCUUUGCGAGGGAGGAACUGAAAGGACUAAAUAAGCAUGCAAACACAUGUGCAUCCAGACUCACUAAAUCAGUCCUUCUUUCAUUAGUCCUCUGUGGGUAAUAAGAGGACAUGUUAAGCACAGCUUUCAGCUUCUUCACCUGAGUAACACAGGGGCAUAAUUAAGGACUUGCCUGAGAGAGCAAAGAGAGACAGAAGAGAGAAUGAAGGACUUUGAGGAGGGAAUGAAUAAGCUAACUGGGAUCAAUUCAAAAGUGAAGUUGGCUUUGAAGAACACCCAGUGAAGGUAUUCAACCUGCUGGAAUGAAAGAGUUCCUCAAACACCCCUGUGGAAAUCAAUAUCGAGCUACCUGGGGCUGCUUUCAUGUGAAUCCUCAGGAAAAAGAGAAUAGACUAGUUCAAAGAAUGGGGCUUCAGCGAUGCCAGGCAAUGCUUUAAACAUCUUCCUGGAUCAUGGCACAAAUCGGCCAGCGACAGAGGCCAGGGAGUAUAAAAAUAGGCAGAGGCAACAUGGGACAGGGAAGGAGCUGCAGGCACGGCUCGGUUGAGUGUUAAGGACAGGAAAGCCCAUUGAGCACAGGGCAAGUCAGAGCUGUACCAGAUGGUUUGAGAGCUAUGAGAGUGGCAGCUAUAAAUGUGGGGGACAGGGUGCCAGGUGCACUGAAUAAGGAUGGCCGGGAUGAUUUAGAGACAACAUGCCACCUGUCACAAGCAAGGGGCAACCCCGCCAGCUGGCAACCCCUGCCAUGCCAUCCCUACACACACGUGUGUUAGGGGGUGAGCACUUUGUGCUGGUGGUGAGGCGGGACGGCGUGCCAGCAGGCAGGGCUGCCUGCAGCCUAGUCCAAGUGCAAGCAGGGUGUGCUGGCACGCUGCGGCUGACCUUGCUGCCUUUCCCUCACAGUGCUGCGAUGCGUGCAUUGACAUGGUGAGGGCAGGUCUGCAGUCUAGGACUUCACCCAGGAAGAGUUUUGCAGGCUCCUCUUGCUCCUUUUGCUGCAUAGCUGGCAGAGCCUGUGUUCUCAGGACAAUGUUACAGCUCCUCUGUUACCUCCCCUACCCCAGGCUGCAGCCCUUUGCGCAAAACAUGAGUGGUGGCAGUGUCCCAGCAAGGGACUGGGAGCCCAGAAGGAGAGAAUAGGGUGGUUUAAACUCAUGGUUGGCAUGUCCAAAUAGUCCGGGGCAUAGACACAGCUGCAAAGGGCUCCUUGCCACAUGCAGAAAAUGUUAGGCUGGUGCAAGACAAUACAGAGGGUGGGAGCAUUACAGGCGAGAGUGGCACAAGGUCUCUUGCCUUUCCUAAAGCUCCUUUUGGGGAAGGAUGGUACUAAACUCUCGGUCACACGCAAUCAUACAAAGUCUGUACCCAUUGCCAAGCCCGGAGCCAGCCCCUUCCUGCUGGAAACCUCCUUAAUGAUAGCGCCCUGCUCUAACGAACAACAAUUUCUGUGACAGCACAAAAUAAAUGGGGAACACUCUCAAUCUGAAGUUUGUAUUGAAUUAAAUAUUACAGCAUUGAUUGGGUUAUUCAUUUAGCAUCUCACUCAAUAAACAUCUCUUGCAGCACAUGUUUCUCCAUUUAUCUUACCUUGUCGUGGAAGCCAGGCUUACCCACCACACUCAGCACUGCUGCCUGGCUCAGGCAGCAGGAGGGAGGAUGUGUGGGCCAGGAAAGGUAAAUUCAGCAUUUCUUCCAAAGAUUGAGAGCUCUUCUUGGGAGUUACAAAGCAGACCAUAGAUCUGGUAUGCAGAGGAGAGGUAGUUGCCUCUCCCAGAGCUGGUCAAAGCCAGUGCAGACCUCUAGGAUCUUGGCUGAGGUGUAACUCAAGCUUAAAAACCAGGACAAUUGAAGUAUGGGGAGAGUAACAAGGAAAGCUAGCACAGUCCCGAGGGCUUAUCUAUGGCCUGUUUCUCCAGGAACUCCUGUUUUAAUGCCCCAGUAAGUAGUUUCUGUGGCUGAAAGAAUACAAAACCUAAUCUGAUCCUGUUACUUAAUCAGGAAUAUUAUGGGAGGACUGGAGAUAUUUUAGACUCCAUCCCUUAGAAAAUACUUGCGAGGCUAGAAAACCCCAUAAAAAUGUCAAUGCAAAUCCGUUUGGGUGUAGGCAGUGAAUCCGCUCUUGUAGUCACAGAAUGGAGUUAGCCGGUAAAAUGCUUGGUAGGCUUUUGGGCUCCGUAAGUAAUACACGAGCCAUUCUGGGAGAUGGAAUGCAAUUACUAGGACUAGUUGAUACCAAUUUAUUUAGUGAAUUUGCUUUAUUCUGCUCAAGAUCUGAUCACGGCUGCCUAAAUUUGUUUGUUGUUUGUAUUUGUUCAUUGAAUUAUUUGUGCAGGUAAAUUAUAGCCUAUUAAUCAUGUUUAUUAUGACAGUGCUUAGGGAUUGACCAAGAAUGCACCCCCUCUGCCUGUUUUCUGGGUAGUGUGCAAAGACAGAAUAAUAGGCAAUCCCUGGCCUCAUUUAUGUGUGAAUUGAGUGCUUUGAUUAUUUGCUAUUUGUCAGAUGUUGGCUGUUUAAGUUGUUUAGCAUUCUUUGUUUUCCUUAAACCUGGUAACAAAAGCUCUUCAAGUAAGAAUUAAACAUUACAAAAAAUGACUGGAGCUUUGGCUUUCUUGGAAGGUGGGUGGUGGGCUGGGACAGUGGAGGUGAGAAAAUUCACUAAGAAGAGAGAAAGAACAGUCAGACCCUAAUUUUUCCAAAUCGCUGCAUGCCUUGCUGAGUGGGGGAGUGCAGAAGCUGUAUACAAUAAUGACUUUCCGUUCCUUUUUCUCCCAUCGUGCUGUUUUAUUGCACAUACCUGUGUAAGGAUAUUUCAGCAUGUCGUAGUCGAAGCUGGAUUCUUCCUUAUUUGUUUGCUUAAUACAGGAACUCAAAGUUAGUGCCUUGUCCUCAGCUCAGCAGUCUCUGAUUCAGCUAUGACACUGAUCUCCAGACAGAAGCCUUGCUCCUUGGUGGCACAUGUUUUCUGGAACAUGAUUUUUUGCAAAAACUAGGAUUGCUGUACAGUUCUGAAGAUGUGCCUUUCCCAGCUGAUAAUAAAUAUCUUACAGCAUCUGAAGGUCUGAUAAAGCCACAACGCAGGCUGUCUCUUUAGUCCUUUGACUCUUGUGUUCCCUUCCUCCAAAAUGGGUUGCACCUGAUCCUUUUCCUUAAGUCUACUCUUCUCAGUGAGCCUCCAUCAUUGCAUCACAUUGAUCCCUUUGCCUUCUCUGUUGCCUGUUUUACUUCUUGUCUUUGUUUUUAUCCUUCUCUUGUCUUGUCUUCUAUGCAUGUCUCAGCAUCUUUCAAGUAUCAUCAUAAAAAUCUGGGGCUGAACUUUGUGAAGGGUUCUUUUCUUCCUAGUGGACAAUUUCAUCCAUUUUCCUCAUGUUCAGAUGAAAAUUCAGGAACUGGAAUUCUCCUCACUAUCAAAGGUGCCCAAACGGGUUAAACUAAACUCCUGUCUAGUGAAUUCCUGUUCAACCCAGUUUACCAUGUAAAGCUGAACUCCCAAAUGGAAAAGAUUUUCCAGCAAAAUGAAAAUCUUAAAAUAUCAGACUGAAUCGUCACUUUCCACUUUAAACAGUGAAGUUAAAAUAUUUUACCCCAACCUUAUGCAGUUAGAAUUUAAUGUGGUGUCACAGCGGCAAGUCUAGUUCUUGGGACCAUCAUCUUAGGACUCAUCUGUAUGCAAGACCACCUUCCCAGUGGAGAACAGACUUAUAUGUUUUCAAAUCUCAGCUUCUACAAGGUCCUGCAACAGUAUUCAAGAAACAACACUGCUUUUUGCCUUCAUUUCCAACUUAAUUUAUUGUAAAUCCUAGAGUUCAGUUCAAGGAUAAUAUAAACAAUUCCAAUGGGUGUUUUUUGACCAAAUAUUAUUAAGACCUUUGAAAACCUCUUGUAUUCAAUACUAGAAUUUUGUUGUGUAUAGAGGUCUGUUCCUUAAAGCUUGUAUUGUCAUGUAUUUUCCUCCCUUUCUUCCUCUCUUUUUCUCUUUCUGGACUGCUUGUUCUGACAUACAGCUAACCAAAGUGAAGUGUUUUUCUUUGAGAGAAAUCUCAUGGUUGUUAUUUAUCUCCACUCCCAUGCCUUUUAGCACCCUUGUUUCUCUCCAGAUAAUGUGAACCUCAAGGAAAGCAGAGAGAUGGAAGCAAGAGAGGCACGUGGGAGGACUAAUCCCAGAGGAUACUAUGAUCUGCUGAGUUUUCAGUUUGAAGUUCUGGAGCUGAAGGGUUGCAUUCCCUGGUGGACUAGAAAUAGCUGCAGAUAUGAAGCUUGACAUUAAUGCCCUGUGGUUUAAAUCCUUCUGUGCUCACAAACCAGGAGUCAUCGUAGUUACAUGGCACAAUGAAAUGUGCAGGCCAAAACAAAUAAAUGCUCUUAGUCUGGAGAGGGAAUAGAAGCAUUUCAAAUCAUCCCUUUGAAGAAUAGUUCUUCCUGGUGCUUAUUUGAUUUUGUUAUACAUACACACAGUAUUCAAGCUAAAUGCUUCUGCUAGCUCAAUUACUACAGUUUACUUACCAAGGCUCUGUUAAAUGCUUUCAAGCACAAGUCCCUUCUGUACUAUUAAAGAAGCUUUCCAUUUCUCUGAUACUGUAUUAAGCUUCACACUUUCACUCCCUGGUGGACUUUGUCUUGUAACUGGAUCCUAAUACAUCCUAUUAUAUGAACCAGAAGGACUGGAAAGUGCUGUGCUACAGAAAGACAUUUAGUAUCUGCUCUCCUAAAUUUAUCGAAGAAGAGAAUUUUGUGCCUUGCAUCAUUUUCCAAAUUUUCAAAAGUAUGCCAGAAGCCUGGCUAUUUAACUUGCCAUGUUUUCCUUGUGUUCAUUGGAUUUCGGUUAAAAUGGUGACUGGGAUGAGGAGAAACACAGCCAGGCUCCUCUCAGGAGGCUCUCUGACCCAAUUACUGUGCAAGCUCUUCAACCUGUAGUCUCCAAGCGAUACCACAGGCAGCCAAGUGGACGGCAAGUUGUAGCAGUGAGGGAAUAUCAUUAUUGACAGCAGUAGGCAACAGGAACUCUGAAUUCUUCUGCUGAGCCUGAGACAGAGAGCCCUCCCAAAAUACCCAUGGCGAGUUCUCCCCUGUGUGAAGAGGAACGAAACUACAUCCCCAACUGCCCAGCAAAUCUCUGCUGAAUUUCAUCUAGUGCCACAAAACCUGCUUCUCUGUUGGCUGGUGUCUCAGAAUGUUAGCUGUUUGCAAACAUGCUGCUACCCAUGUGUUUACUUGUGAUUAUCCCAAAGGCAUAUUCGCAUAUUCCACAGGCACUUCAUGUUUUAGGUUAAAAAGAAAAAUCAUAUGGAAAUUUAAGCAGGAAAAGAUGGUAUUCACUGUGCUGUGUUUAAAAACAAGGACCAGGCUGUGAUAUGACUUUAAUGACUAAUCACAACAGAGGAAAACCAAUAGACAAUAUAGGUGGAUUGCUCAAUCCAUGCUAAAAUAAUACUAAUUUAAACAAAAAAAAAAAAAAAAGUUUUUCUAGGUGGGGACCCUCAACAUUUUCUAAAGCCUGGCCCUCCUCCUGUUUGAGAAGCUGCCAUGCAGGCACCUCCCCUUCCAUUCAGAACCAGGAAGAAUGUGUUUCUUCUCCUUGGCAAAUUAAUAAUAUCCCUGUGACAGCUCCAGUGAUCGCUUACACAGAGAUGUCGUAUGCUGAGGGUAUUUGGUGCAUUGUUAACAUCUUUAAAUGUGAUUUAGCAUCUUGAAAUGAGGAGAAGCUGGAACUACAGGACCAUCAGAUCUGCAUCACCUGUGUUUAACAUCUGUGAGCUCAGAAAUGGAGGGAGGAAAGAGAUUUUCAGAGGCUCUCACUGCUAGAAUCUGCCACAAGACUAAUGAGAGGCUGGGGCAGGACUGUUUGGAUGAAGUCUCUCUUUUCUGCAUGCAACUGAUUCCUGCCCCUCUGUGCAGAGGUAUCCCCAAGAGGCCAAAUAAAUAAAUAAGUUAAUUUCCACUUGCAAAGAGAAAUAUCACCUGUUUAUAAUGCAUGUUAGUUGCAUUUGCCAUGUAAGGUUGUAUUUGCCUUGAGGCAAAAAGACUCUAAGUGAACAACAAAUUCCUGGUUACACCUCAUACGAUAUAAGGCAGACCAUGGUCUCCUUUACAACGAGGCCCAGGGACAAAAUAGAAAUCUUCUUGCAGAGUCCAGGCAGACAACUGUGAGUUAGACCAGAAAGUCAUCCACUCCACCUGGGGACAAGCAGAAAAGGGAGGAGGCACAACUACCCCACUGCUUUCGUGCAGCAAAUGAAGCCUUGGGAAGGCAGGUGGCAGUGAGGAUGAGCCGCAUUCCCUGGCAGGCGAUGAGCAGCAGGUCCACGUGAGGACCGGUGCCCAAGCCUUCCCUCCCAGCCUGGGGACAAUCCUAUUAUUAAAACUGCUCCAUCACUGGCUGUAAUGGGAGCGUCUGUAUUUUCUCCCUUGCCCGUAUCCCUGACAUGACAUAAUGCCUGCCCUCACCAAGACGCUAUAACACCGAGGGCCAAGGCUUUGAUGGGAAACUUGCCAAGUCAACGUGCCCUAGCUCCUACCAGCGGUGUGGCAACCUAAGGCUCUGCCUAUCUCUGUGGGAUGCGAGGUCUUCCAUUUCGAAUGCGUGACACCUAAAUACAAGACAUAAAUCUUGUUGAGGGCUGCAGGGCCCUCAGCACUGCAGGAGACCACACACACAUUCAUAAAACCAGCACCAGACAGAAGAAGCUCAAGUAUUUGCUGACCCUGAGACCUGAAGGAUCUUCAGCUGUAGAAAGCUCACGGUUUGGUUGCAGGUGUCACACUUGUCUGCUGAAUAAGCUCAGGGUGUCACAGCAAUAGCUUCUUACUGACACAUGGCCCCAGAGCCACCCGGACUACAUGAAGAACAUGUAGAAAGUGAGACGGGACAGGAGCUGUCCUCUCCUGCACAUCUGCAAGGUCUGGGACUGCUCCUCCAUGUGCUGCCUGGGCCUAGCAUGCAGCACUGUGUGGAAAUCAGAAGCCCCUGUGCAGUUCCUAGGAAGUCUGUGGGAGCGGGUGGACAUGGACCCAGUGGCUUAAUCCUCUUCCUACCACUCUGUGGAGCUUGUUUUGCAGGGAUGCAAGAGGAUGAGAGGACAGAGGCAUCUGAACCUCAGGUGGACAGCAGCACUCCACUGCCUGAAGCACCUCUGCCUCCGUGAAAGGAAGGGGAAUGAGGUCGAGUGACAAAGCAAAUGCACAGGCUGCCGUGAGUAAUUGGAUGUGGGAGGGAUCCUGUCUGCCUGGGAGCAAGUCAGCUCUGACGUGAAGGCCUGAAAAGACACUUUGGAAAUGUCAGGGCCACAAGAGCCUCUUAGUGUGGCACUUGGCAGCACCAGCUCAGCAAGUGGAGGGGGCAUAAACUUCCCCCACUCCCUCAGCAAAGCAAAGAGGACAUCCCAACCAACCCCUUCCCCUCCCCACCAUCUCUACCACCCACCAGAGACAAGAGGUGGCCCAGGUUCCCUCUUUCCUGGCCAUGGACCCACCACAGGGACAGGUCCUGGUCCUCUUAUGACUGAGGCUGCUCUCUCUAGUGUCUAUAUGAAGUGGAGUAGAUUGAACAUGGAGUGAUCUUUAGUUUCUCUCACUACUCAGUCCUAUCGAGUUUUCCUCCACUGUCAUCCUCUUACGUGACUGUCACGGUGGCCUCUGAGGCCUCUGAUAAACUUUGCUGAAGGAACUCCCAAUUCUCAUUCAUACAUAAAUGAGUAUUUAUACAAAUACAUAUAGAUAUUGUACUCUCUCCCUUAAUAAAUUUUACUUUUGACAUUUGAGAAGUUAGCCUUUGUAGAGGGCCAAGUAUAUAUAUAUAUAUUAUUGCUUGGCACCAUCCUCCUGCACUCAUACUGAGAGUAAUCAAAUCAUGAUCACUGGUCCCUGUAGCUGCUCCCAAGGGCUUCCAGCUUCUCCUGCAACAGGUUUGAAUGAGCAUCCAGUGAGUAUCACCUUUUAUUAACUCUAUCAGCCCUGUGAUCGUUUGGACAGGCACAUGCAAUUGCUUUUGUGUGUGCAUGUGCAGGUGCAGGGACACUUGCAAAUGCAAAAUCAAUCCUUUUUGUAGCACCUAUUUUUACUGUUAAUGUUGUCCAAAAGCUUAUGCAGGUGCACACCUCUACUUUUCCCAGUGACGUUUCCAUGCACUGUUAUUAACCAGUCAUACACUAAUCAUCCUGUUAAGCAUGGAUCAUUGAAUAGUUCCUCGUGCCAAUUUGCAGUCCAGGAGCUUAUCAUUCUUUUAAGGUAUUUGUAAUUGUCCUAAAUGUUUCCCUCUCUUUAUUUAUGGUUCCUAGGCUCUUUCCUAUCAAGCCUGUGGGUAUCAGUGUAAUGAGUUCUUAAAUAUGUUUGGUAAGUCUGUAGUUUUUGUCACUUUACACUGAUUUCCACAUCUGUCCUUCUCAGCCUGAGUCUCUCAUUGACUUGAAACCCACCCUUCAGAGGCAACCAGCAGCUUCCAGACCAGCCUUUCAUCAUUCGUUGUCCUUCCUAAUGAGAACGACAUUAGACUUUUACCUCAACCCGACUGCAAUGAUUUCACAGUAGAAAACGAUCAUCUCCACACAUCAGAAGCACUGAUGAUGUUUGCUAUUAGCUGCAUAAAACCCCUAAAAUGCUUUCAAAUUAAAAUCCUUCCGUAAUAACUGGUUUUUUGUAUUUCCAUAUGCUACAGAGAGGAGCAGAAUCAUUAUUUUCCAUCGGUUAAUUUAGAACUGGAUGAAAGACCCCAACAGUAACCCUCUGAAAGUUUCUGCAAGUAAACAUGAGAACUGGUCUCUGCUCUGAAGAGUCAAGGAACUAAAAAACCACAGUGGCAUCUUUUAUGCUGAGCAUCACCCCUGUGCUUUUACUCUAUUUUUCCUUAAGCGUCUGUAACUAGACUGUUAAGCAUUUCAGCCAUGUGACUAAUCCCUGCAGGCUUCGCCAAUGGCAAUAAUAUCAAAUUUCUUCUCAUCAAUGGGAAUUUCCAUUUCCAGCUUGCUUGUUACCCCCAUGUCUAGGACUGCUGUAUAAGUAAUAGGAAAACCUCUUUUUCUUCACAACUUUAUCACAGCAGCUCAAUUUGUUUGCAACAUGCUGAGCUGGAGUUCGGAUUGCAUUUGCCUUCUUAGCACCUUCCCUUUGUGUCAUUAGUCAAGCGACCGCCUGGCUGCUCCAGCUUGUUUCUGACAGAACAGAGUAGCUUUGAGAUGGAGGCCAUUUUGCUCAUCUGUGAUUGCAUAUAUAUAUAAAAGACUGAAAACGGCAUUACAAAACCUCCAGCAACUCUUCUACACGCUGCAGCCACUUAUUUUCCAUUGACACCAGAACACUUUUUCCUACUCACCAGCUGGUGAGAAGUGUCAAGCGACAAUGCCAGCAGCUCGCACGAAGAAUUGCUGCCUUCAAACACCAAACUUCAUUGCUGCGCGUACAACCACGUCAUCCCUGCUGCUGCUGGUCCUUGAAUACACUCAUGCCUGGAGUGCCCCUUUGCCUCACUUCAUUCCUUGGUAGCUGCUGGUAGGUGGGAGAAGGGGUGAGCAUCACCCUCCAAGUCGUCAGCGUCACAACAGAGGAACUGCCAAAUCAGAUGUCAUCUGGGAAAUUCUUCCUCAGCAGUAACACCUUUCGUGCCAAGGAAUCAUACAGACCGACUAGCACUCCUCCUCCGUGUUCACAGCCACUGUACCAAUCGAGCUGUUUGUCAUCUGUCAUGCUAACACAAAGCUGGGACCAGCGGCACAGGAGCUCUGUCUCCUGAGCUGGUCAGAAAGUUAUCCACGUCCCCUUUUCCUUUGGGGGAGACUGACAUAAAAUGAAAUUUGAUGACCACUGGUGGGAAGGAGAAAGAGGCUUCUGGUGGUAGCCCUGGGCUACAAAUGGGUGAUUAUCAGAGACCAAUUAAUUAAAAAAAGCUCCAAUAUAAGAAAUCACUUGAACAUGUGGUUUUCUCUAAUAAUGUCCCUAAGAUGUUUCUUGUCUGGCCGAGGAUGUAAAUACAGGCAGCCUUAAGCAUGUGCUGAGGAACUCUGUGGCAGAGACCUCAACUGUGUAAAAAAUGGUCACCGUACUGUAGGGGAAAAUGACGAUAUAAAGCAUUUCUCCAGGGCUGCCUGGCGCUAAUGACUUUAAUACAGCGAGUUGAACAAACUUAUGUGGCAGCAGUGACUGUGAAGGAGGACUUUUAACUUGCCUACAAUAACUACCUUGCAAGGAGCUGAGUGCUUCAGUCAGCUUGAUGAAUAGUGACUAGGAGCCCGUGGAAGGCCAGCGGGAGGAGGCGGUGUGGAAGGUGGAGCUGGAUGGGGCACGGUGCAGGGCACGGCUGUAGGUGCUUAAUUCCUGAAGUCUGCAGCAAAAAGCUUGGCUGCACGGUGAAGGAUCUGCCAAACUGGGACUUAGAAAUGCAGAAGUGAUACAGAUAAAGUGUGUGUAUGAGUGCACGCUUCC